GUUUUCCAUUCGGCAUUUAAGCCGGUUGUGCCGACCACCUUCUUUUGAAAGCCGACCACCUUUCGAUUUUAGGAGGUGGUCGGCUUUUUUUACAAAUUCCGGAUUAUUUUCGGUUCCGUACCGUUAAAAUUUGAAUACUAAUGGCGCCUCGCUGAUUUGUUUUCAUUAACAAAGAUGGCGUCCAAUCGUCAAAUUUCAAUGUUUUCAUUUAUCAAUCGGGGUAAAAGAAAGGCAGAUGACAAUGAUGAUAAAGAAAAUACCAGACCAAAUAAGUUAAAUAAAAUUGAUAGUAAUGUUGAAGUUGUCGAAAUUGAACAAAAAUCAACCAAACAACUGAAAAGACACGCAAGUGAAGACAAAUAUGAGCAAGACUUCAAAUGGCUUAUAGUCACAGAGGAAGGAUACUACUGUUCUGUGUGCCAAAAAUAUGACAAAAGCAAGAAACAGGACAUAAAAUUGUAAAUGAAAGAAGAGAGAAAAGAGAUAAAUUGUUGAAAAAAAUCAAAUCAAAAAAUAUUUGGCAAUCCUUCUUCUUCUGUACGUAUAUACUUCCAAUUAUGAAACACCUCCGCAAUUGAUAUUAUCCAGACG
rnacentral:lncRNA from 1 species